AGAGUUUGAUCCUGGCUCAGAACGAACGCUGGCGGCGUGGAUAAGACAUGCAAGUCGAGCGCUGAUUACAGGGUAGCAAUAUUCUGUAGUUGGAGCGGCGCAAGGGUGCGUAACACGUGGGCAAUCUGCCGUGAAGUCUGGGACAACUUGCUGAAAGGCGAGCUAAUACCGGAUGUGAAAAUUGGGAGGCAUCUUCUGAUUUUCAAAGUUGGGGACCGUAAGGCCUGACGCUUCAUGAUGAGCCCGCGGCCUAUCAGCUAGUUGGUGAGGUAACGGCUCACCAAGGCUAAGACGGGUAGCUGGUCUGAGAGGACGACCAGCCACACUGGAACUGAGACGCGGUCCAGACACCUACGGGUGGCAGCAGUCGAGAAUUUUUCACAAUGGGCGAAAGCCUGAUGGGGGGACGCCGCGUGGGGGAUGAAUGGCUUCGGCCCGUAAUCCCCUGUCAUUUGCGAUCAACCGUUAUUAUUUAAAAGAUGAUGACCUGAUAGUACGAAAGAGAAAGGUCCA
rnacentral:rRNA from 1 species